rnacentral:rRNA from 1 species
GAUGAACGCUGUCUACAGGCUUAACACAUGCAAGUCGAGGGGAAACGACGGGGAAGCUUGCUUCCCCGGGCGUCGACCGGCGCACGGGUGAGUAACGCGUAUCCAACCUGCCUCUGACUGAGGGAUAACCCGUCGAAAGUCGGCCUAAUACCUCAUGGCAUCGUCUGCGGGCAUCCAACGACGAUUAAAGAUUUCAUCGGUCAGGGAUGGGGAUGCGUCUGAUUAGCUUGUUGGCGGGGUAACGGCCCACCAAGGCUACGAUCAGUAGGGGUUCUGAGAGGAAGGUCCCCCACAUUGGAACUGAGACACGGUCCAAACUCCUACGGGAGGCAGCAGUGAGGAAUAUUGGUGAAUGGGAGGGAGCAUGAACCAGCCAAGUAGCGUGCAGGAUGACGGCCCUAUGGGUUGUAAACUGCUUUUAUGCGGGGAUAAAGUGAGGGACGUGUCCUUCAUUGAAGGUACCGCAUGAAUAAGGACCGGCUAAUUCCGUG